rnacentral:lncRNA from 11 species
AGUAAGUCCAUAGGAUUGCUCGCAAAGAGCCUGCGGCUAAUUUAGAUUCUUCUAGAUAUAGAUAAAGCUGGGUGGACAGAAAUAAUUCUGCAUUAAGUAAUCAAAGCAAAUGUGUAAAAUACCUUGAAAGAUAAAGCUGAAAAUGAAAAUGCAUAAUCUUACUAAAUAGAUCAAUACAUACAUUAUCUUAGGGUAAUAUUUAUAACAAUCCAAACCAGUAUUAUUACUAUACUGCAGACAGGGAGCAGGAUCAACUGACGCUGAAAGGGAAGUGAAAUAUCUUGGCAGGUUUUUCACUGUUGCUCCUGGCCCGCUGGUGAACACUGCGUUGCUCUUUUAAAAUAAUCAAUGUAUGCAGAAGUGUUUCAUAUAAACCAUAUAUGUUCUGCUGCAGGUCAAGGAUUAACUGCAGUUAAAGAGAAAGCAGCCACCCUCAGAAUUCAUGUUCCUUCCUCUGGGCCAUCAGAAGACCCACAUCCCAGCACAUCUGAAAACCUUGUCGCAAGUGACAUGGAAGAGACCCUGCAACAAAACUCCCCAGAAGAUGCAGCUUCACCUUCAUCGCCGUCUGGGUCACGUGGAAUGUUUUCAACCAUUUCUAGCGCUGUACAAAAUACGGUAAGCAAUUCUCAUGACAAAAAGAGCCUGGAAGAAGUCCAGUACAGAAAAAGCAAGGAAAACAGGUACACAUAAAGAAAAGAAACCAAAUAAACAAAUAAAUGAAAACACAGUUGAAAAGUAUGAAAUGCUUUAUCUGCUCACGGGAAAAUGAAAUGCAGUUAUCAUUUAAAAAAAUAUACUCCAAAGGAAUUAUCACCAGUAUAUGGAGAAGCCAUUUUUUUUCUUUGUAUGACAUAUCAAACUGUCUCCAUUUGCCUUGUAGACAGUUUUGGACUUUUGUAUCAAAAGCUGAAAGCAGCUGGACCCCAGCUUCUCAUCCUGAGUAGCAGAUGCUACAGCUUUGUUGUGAUAGAUGAUGUGUUGAAAUGCUCCAGGCGCAUACAGGGAUUCAUAAACUCCCAAACCAUAUUGACAGCAAGACAAGCUGUCAACAUUUGUGAAUAAUUCAAAUUUACUGCAUGGUGGCAAGACUGUGGCGUGACCAUGUCCAGAGCCUUAGGGCAGUAAGUGGGUUAUUGCACUCGCUCCCUGCUUGCCUAUAGGAUUCCUGCAAAAAAGGACAGUUGUGUGUGAGCAGUUAAUCUUCUUGGUGCAAUGCAGUAAACUAAAAUCAAAGAGCACAUCCACAACAUAGCUGUGUAAAUUCCAUGGAAUCUUACGGUUUAUUUGCUGCUUGUUGUUAUUGUUUUGUUUAUAUUUUGCCAUCUGCUGUGAUUCAACUAAAGAAGAAAACAUGAUAGUAUAUACAGUAUUUAGUCCCAAAUGUAUCCCCUAAGAAUCGUAUCCUUUCAGUAUCCAACCUGUCAGCCAAGAAAUGUCAUCACAUUUUCCUCAGAAGUUCUGCAUUUUACGCAAAGUUUGUAGAGAUGUGAGUGUUUUGGGACAUACCUUCAGUUUGCAAGAAAUGUUUUUACAAGUGUGAUGGGUGCCUCACGCAAAUUAAG